CAAUGACGUCAUAUUUAAUUCUGUCAUUAAGUUACAUAAGACGUAAGCUGAGGAGUAAUACAUAUAGAUGACAUUUUUAACUUGACACUAUUCUUUCUACUUGUUCAAUUUAUUGAAUGUAAAGUUUUUAUAUGGCCGUCUUAAACAAACUGACAACGCCAUGGCUAAAAAUGAAAAAGCCAAACAAACAGCACACGUGAC
rnacentral:lncRNA from 1 species